rnacentral:snoRNA from 1 species
AUUAAUAUGAUUAUAAAACAAUGAUUUAAUAUCGAUUCUGAGGAAGUACAUGCAGGAUAUAUUGUUAAUUAGGAAUUCUUCGUUUAUGAUCUAAC